UUACGGGAGGCAGCAGUGGGGAAUUUUGGACAAUGGGCGCAAGCCUGAUCCAGCCAUGCCGCGUGUGGGAAGAAGGCCUUCGGGUUGUAAACCACUUUUGUCAGGGAAGAAACGGUCUGGUCUAAUAAACCGGACUAAUGACGGUACCUGAAGAAUAAGCACCGGCUAACUACGUGCCAGCAGCCGCGGUAAUACGUAGGGUGCGAGCGUUAAUCGGAAUUACUGGGCGUAAAGCGUGCGCAGGCGGCUUUGCAAGACAGAUGUGAAAUCCCCGGGCUCAACCUGGGAACUGCAUUUGUGACUGCAAGGCUAGAGUACGGCAGAGGGGGAUGGAAUUCCGCGUGUAGCAGUGAAAUGCGUAGAUAUGCGGAGGAACACCGAUGGCGAAGGCAAUCCCCUGGGCCUGUACUGACGCUCAUGCACGAAAGCGUGGGGAGCAAACAGGAUUAGAUACCCCCGUAGUCC
rnacentral:rRNA from 1 species